CAUGGCUCAGAUUGAAACGCUGGCGGGCAGGCCUAACACAUGCAAGUCGAGCGGAUGAAGAGAGCUUGCUCUCUGAUUCAGCGGCGGACGGGUGAGUAAUGCCUAGGAAUCUGCCUGGUAGUGGGGGACAACGUUUCGAAAGGAACGCUAAUACCGCAUACGUCYUACGGGAGAAAGCAGGGGACCUUCGGGCCUUGCGCUAUCAGAUGAGCCUAGGUCGGAUUAGCUAGUUGGUGAGGUAAUGGCUCACCAAGGCGACGAUCCGUAACUGGUCUGAGAGGAUGAUCAGUCACACUGGAACUGAGACACGGUCCAGACUCCUACGGGAGGCAGCAGUGGGGAAUAUUGGACAAUGGGCGAAAGCCUGAUCCAGCCAUGCCGCGUGUGUGAAGAAGGUCUUCGGAUUGUAAAGCACUUUAAGUUGGGAGGAAGGGCAUUAACCAUAAUACGUUAGUGUUUUGACGUUACCGACAGAAUAAGC
rnacentral:rRNA from 1 species